rnacentral:rRNA from 1 species
AACGAACGCUGGCGGCAUGCUUAACACAUGCAAGUCGAACGAAAACUCCGGGUCUAGUUGCGCACGGGUGGGUAACGCGUGGGAACCUGCCCUUGGGUUACGAAUAACUCCCCGAGAGGUGUGUUAAUACCGGCUGGUGUCUUCGGACCAACGACUUAUCGCCUUUGGGUGGGCCCGCGUUGGUUUAGCUAGUUGGUAGGGUAAUAGCCUACCAGUGCGACGAUCCAUAGCUUGUCUGAGAGGCUGAUCCACCGCACUGGGCCUGAGACACGGCCCCGACUGCUACGGGGGGCAGCGGUGGGGAAUACUGGACGAUGGACGCAAGCCUGGUCCAGCCGUGCCGCGGGUGUGAUGCUUCCCUUGGCAUUGUGAAUCUCUCUUACCCGGAAUGAUAAUGACGGUACCGGGAGAAUAAGCACCGGCUAACUCCGUG